GCCUGGGUGGCUCAGUCGGUUGAGCGUCCGACUUCAGCUCAGGUCAUGAUCGCAUGGUCUGUGGGUUCGAGCCCCGCGUCAGGCU
rnacentral:tRNA from 1 species